rnacentral:misc_RNA from 1 species
AAGUCGUAACAAGGUUUCCGUAGGUGAACCUGCGGAAGGAUCAUUAACACGUAUCCAACGUUAAAAACCCCGUGAACCUUCAUCGCCGCUCCUCAUGGCUAAGUCUUGGAUAAAGCCAAACAGCAAUCCCUGCACUCGUCCGAGAAAAUGCAAGAGGAGGGACCUCUGUUUGACAGAGCACUAUGGGUUUAAGAGCGCUUGGUAAGGUGGCUUGUUUUUCCCCAAGCAGUCAGUGAAUGACAGUGUCGCUGAUUGUCUAAGGAUUUCGCUUUACGAUCACUGGAGGUCGAUUACCGACCGGUGGAACAAGUCACAGGGCUUCGGCUCCCUCCCCAACCCCACUUUCUAUUGCCGCUCCGCGCUAACACGCCGGGCAUUCAAAAACGUUUAAACAACUGUUAACAAUGGAUAUCUUGGUUCUCGCAUCGAUGAAGAACGC